AUUUAAGUAAUUUAAUUAAAAUAUUGAUUUGUGGAAUCAAAAAUGUAAAGUUGUUACCUUAAAUU
rnacentral:tRNA from 1 species